GAUGAACGCUGGCGGCGUGCCUAAUACAUGCAAGUCGAGCGAACGGACGAGAAGCUUGCUUUUCUGAUGUUAGCGGCGGACGGGUGAGUAACACGUGGAUAACCUACCUAUAAGACUGGGAUAACUUCGGGAAACCGGAGCUAAUACCGGAUAAUAUUUUGAACCGCAUGGUUCAAAAGUGAAAGACGGUCUUGCUGUCACUUAUAGAUGGAUCCGCGCUGCAUUAGCUAGUUGGUAAGGUAACGGCUUACCAAGGCAACGAUGCAUAGCCGACCUGAGAGGGUGAUCGGCCACACUGGAACUGAGAAACGGUCCAGACUCCUACAGGAGGAAGCAGUAGGGAAUCGUCCGCAAUGGGCGAAAGCCUGACGGAGCAACGCCGCGUGAGUGAUGAAGGUCUUCGGAUCGUAAAACUCUGUUAUUAGGGAAGAACAUAUGUGUAAGUAACUGUGCACAUCUUGACGGUACCUAAGCAGAAAGCCACGGCUAACUACGUG
rnacentral:rRNA from 1 species